CCGAAAGAAUAACUUUGAGGUGGUUUCGUACCCUACCAUGAUCUCUAUGUUUGGUCUCCGCUAUUAGUGGCUUUGGAGUGACUCUUUGUUGCAUGUUGAGGGCUUGUUAUAUGAUCUAUCUAUGUUAUUAUUGUUGAGAGAACUUGCACUAGUGAAAGUAUGAACCCUAGGCCUUGUUUCCUAUCAUUGAAAUAACGUUUACGCUCACUUUUAUCAUUAGUUACCUUGCUGUUUUUAUAUUUUCAGAUUACAAAAACCUACAUCUACUAUCUAUUUUGCACUUGUAUUACCAUCUCUUCGCCGAACUAGUGCACCUAUACAAUUUACCAUUGUAUUGGGUGUGUUGGGGACACAAGAGACUCUUUGCUAUUUGGUUGCAGGGUUGUUUGAGAGAGACCAUCUUCAUCCUACGCCUCCCACGGAUUGAUAAACCUUAGGUCAUCCACUUGAGGGAAAUUUGCUACUGUCCUACAAACCUAUGCACUUGCAGGCCCAACAACGUCUACAAGAAGAAGGUUGUGUAGUAGACAUCAAGCUCUUUUCUGGCACCGUUGCCGGGGAGGUUAGCGCUUGAAGGUAUAUCUUUAGAUCUUGCAAUCGAAUCUUUUUGUUUCUUGUUUUAUCACUACUUCAGUUUAUAAAAGAAAACUACAAAAAAAUGGAGUUAAGCUUGUCUCAUACGCUUCGUCUUUUUAAUAUCUUUCGUGAGAAUGAUGGAAAGGAAAAUUGUACUCAAGUGCUAGAAGAAGAAUGCAUUAGAAUUUUUGAUACUAAAUCUUUGAAUGAUGAGCAUGGUUGCAAUGUUGUUAGUAUGAAUUCCUUGAAUAUCCAUGAUGCUAAUGAUAUGCAAAGCCACAAGCUUGGGGAAGCUAUGUUUGAUGAAUAUGAUAUUUUUAGUCCCCCAAGUUUUGAUGAGAGUAUUUAUUAUGAUGAAAGCAUGCCUCCUAUUUAUGAUGAUUAUAUUAAUGAAAGUGGGUUUGGAAGAGUGUCAACUUUAGGAAGUAGUGAUCCCACUAUUUUGGAGGAUGUUGAAUCUUAUUGUGAUGAAUAUCAAAGUGGAUUUGGAAGAGUGUCAACUUUAUUUAGUGAUGAUUCCACUAUUUCGGAAGAGGUUCCAAUUGAUUAUGAGAACAAAGUUGCUAUCUAUGAUAAUUAUUGUGAUGACUUGUAUGCUAUUAGGAAUAAUGAUAACCAUGAAACUUGUCAUCAUGAUUUUAGUUUUCAAUUGGAUUAUGCCUCACAUGAUAAUUACUUUGUUGAGUUUGCUCCCACUACUAUUCAUGAGAAGAAAUUUGCUUAUGUGGAGAGUAGUAAAUUUUCUAUGCAAGUAGAUCAUAAAAAGAAUGCUUUGGGUGCUGGUUAUAUUGUUGAAUUCAUUCAUGAUGCUACUGAAAAUUAUUAUGAGGGAGGAAUAUAUGCUUGUAGGAAUUGCAAUAAUGUCAAGUUUCCUCUCUAUGUGUUGAAAAUCUUGAAGUUAUGCUUGUUUUGCCUUCCUAUGCUAGUUGAUUAUUGUUCCCAUAAGUUGUUUGCUCUCAAAAUCCCUAUGCAUAGGAAGAGGGUUAGGCUUAAAUGUGCUAGUCAUAUGCUUCAUGAUGCUCCCGUUAUGCUUCAAUUCUUAUCUUUUAUGUGAGCGUCAUUGUAAUCAUCAUGCCUAGCUAAAAGGCAUUAAAGAAAAGCGCUUGUUGGGAGAGAACCCAAUAUUUAUCCUUACUGUUUUUGUGUGUCCACAUGAUUAUGCCACUGUAGUAAUCAUGUUUUAUAGCUUUUUUUCAAUAAAGUGCCAAGUAAGACCUUUAGGAUAGCUUACGGUGAUAGUUGUGUUGAUCUUGCUGAAAAUCAGAAACUUUUGUACCCAGUAAAUUAGUUUUGUUAAUUCACAGAAACGUGCUCUUGAUCUGAUUCUUUUUUAUCUGGAUUGGUACGCAAAUUUCUCAGGUCUUCCUAAUUUGGUAGAAUUUUUGGAGUUCCAUAAGUAUACGUUUGAUACAUAUUACUACAGACUGUUCUGUUUUUGACAGAUUCUGUUUUCUAUGUGUUGUUUGCUUAUUUUGAUGAAUCUAUGAGUAGUAUCGGAGGGUAUGAACCAUAGAUAAGUUGUAAUACAGUAGAUAUUACACCAAUAUGAAUUUAGAAUGAGUUCAUUACAGUACCUAAGUGGUGGUUUUAUUUUCUUAUACUAACGGAGCUUACGAGUUUUCUGUUGAGUUUUGUGUUGUGGAGUUUUCAAGUUUUGGGUAAAGAUUCGAUGGACUAUGGAAUAAGGACUGGCAAGAGCCUAAGCUUGGGGAUGCCCAAGGCACCCCAAGGUAGUAUUCAAGGACAACCAAGAGCCUAAGCUUGGGGAUGCCCAAGGCACCCCAAGGUAAUAUUCAAGGACAACCAAGAGCCUAAGCUUGGGGAUGCCCUGAAAGGUAUCCCCUCUUUCGUCUUCGUUCAUCGGUAACCUUACUUGGAGCUAUAUUUUUAUUCACCACAUGAUAUGUGUUUUGCUUGGAGUGUUAUUUUCUUUUGUUAGUAUUUGCUUGCUGUUAUUUAGAAUAAUGUUUUUCAUCUUUAGUUUCAAUAAAAAAAAUCAAGGAUAGCCUUUGCCAUGCUUAUUUUGCUAGUAUACAUGUUGCUGCUUGAAAACAGAAAGUUUACCACUGUUGCAAAAAUUCCCUAGAAAAGUCAGAGCAUGGUAUAAUGUUGAAUUUUUUUGCAUAAUGAGCUAUGAUAAAUUUACUAUAGUGUGAAUUUUAUUUCAUAAUUUUUGGAGUUAGGGAAGUAUUGAUACUCUUGCAUUCUUUACAGACUGUACUGUUUUGACAGAUUGCUGUUAUGUUUGCAUUGUUUGCAUAUGUUUGCUUGUUUAAUGAUUCUAUUUGAGGAUAGGAGUAUUAAAUAUGCAGAGGCAUUUAGUAUUAAAUGUUGAAUAAUAAUUUUAGUGAUUUUUUACCGUAGAAAAUGAUAAGGUUUUGCAUUGGUUUAUACUAACCUAUCUCACGAGUUCUUGUUGAGUUUGGUGUGGAUGAAGCUUUUGAUAAAAAGAGAAACCAUGAUAUGAGAGGAAUUAAGGAGACACAAAAGUUCAAGCUUGGGGAUUCCCAAGUCACCCCAAGAUAAUAUUUCAAUAAUUCUCAAGCAUCUAAGCUUGGGGAUGCCCCGGUAGGCAUCCCACCUUUCUUUUUCAACCACUAUCGGUUAGUAUCGGUUGAGCCUAAGUUUUUGCUUCUUCACAUGAGUUGUGCUAUCCUUGCAAUGUCAUUUUAUUUUGUUUUGCUUGCUGUUUGAAUACAAUACCAAGAUCUGGAAAUCCCUUAAUGUUAGAGUGUCUUCACAUAGUUGCACAAUUAUUCGACUACUCAUUGAUCUUCACUUAUAUUUUUCGGAGUAGUUUGUCAUUUGCUCUAGUGCAUCACUUAUAUAUUUUAGAGCACGGAGGUGGUUAUAAUUUGUAGAAAUUGCUAGUCUCUCAUGCUUCACUUAUAUUAUUUUGAGAGUCUUUUAGAACAGCAUGGUAUUUGCUAUGGUUACAAAGUUGGUCCUAGAAUGAUGAGCAUCCAAGUUGGGUAUAAUAAAAACUAUCAUAGAAAGUGAAUUGGAUGCUGUGAUCAAUUUGAUGCUUGAUAAUUGUUUUGAGAUAUGGAGGUAGUGAUAUUAGAGUCAUGCUAGUUGAGGUGAUUAUGAAAAAUACUUGUGUUAAGGGUUGUGAUUCCCGUAGCAUGCACGUAUGAUGAACCACUUUGUGAUGAAGUUGGAGCACAAUUUUAUUUAUUGAUUGUCUUCCUUAUGAGUGGCGGUCGGGGACGAGCGAUGGUCUUUUCCACCAAUCUAUCCCCCCAGGAGCAUGCGCGUAGUACUUUGGUUUUUGAUGACUUCUAGAUUUUUGCAACAAGUACAUGAGUUCUUUUGACUAAUGUUGAGUCCAUGGAUUAUACGCACUCUUUCACCCUUCCAUCAUUGCUAGCCUUUCUUGUACCGCGCAACUUUCACCGGUACCAUACACCCACCAUUUACCUUCCUCAAAACAGCCACCAUACCUACCUAUUAUGGCAUUUCCAUAGCCAUUCCGAGAUAUAUUUCCAUGCAACUUUCCAUCGUUCCAUUCAUAUGACACGCAUUACUUUUGUCAUAUUGCUCUUUGCAUGAUCAUGUAGUUGACAUUGUAUUUGUGGCAAGGCCACCUUCAUAAUUUUCAUACAUGUCGCUCUUGAUUCAUUGCAUAUCCCGGUACACCGCCGGAGGCAUUCAUAUAGAGUCAUAUCUUGUUCUAGCUUUGAGUUGUAAUUCUUCAGUUGUAAAUCCAUAAAAGUGUGAUGAUCUUCAUUAUUAGAGCAUUGUCCCAGUGAGGAAAGGAUGAUGAAGACUAUGAUUCCCCCACAAGUCAGGAUGAGACUUCGGACUUUACAAAAAGAAAAAAAAGAGAAAAAGAAAAAAAAGAAAGGCCAAAAAGAAAAAAAAAGAGAAAAAAAGGAAAAAAUAAAAAAAUAAAAAAAAUAAAAUGAGAGAAAAAGAGAGAAGGGACAAUGCUACUAUAUCUUUUUCCACACUUGUGCUUCAAAGUAGCACCAUGAUCUUCAUGAUAGAGAGUCUCAUAUGUUGUCACCUUCAUAUACUAGUGGGAAUUUUUCAUUAUAGAACUUGGCUUGUAUAUUCCAAUGACGGGCUUCCUCAAAAUGCCCUAGGUCUUCAUGAGCAAGCAAGUUGGAUGCACACCCACUUAGUUUCUUUUGUUGAACUUUCAUAUAUUUAUAGCUCUAGUGCAUCCGUUGCAUGGCAAUCCCUACUCACUCACAUUGAUAUCUAUUAAUGGGCAUCUCCAUAGCCCGUUGAUACGCCUAGUUGAUGUUAGAUUAUCUUCUCCUUUUUGUCUUCUCCACAACCACCAUUCUAUUCCACAUAUAGUGCUAUGUCCAGGGCUCAUGAUCAUGUAUUGCGUGAAAGUUGAAAAGUUUGAGAUUAUUAAAGUAUGAAACAAUUGCUUGGCUUGUCAUCGGGGUUGUGCAUGAUUAAAUACUUUGUGUGAUGAAGAUAGAGGAACAGCCAGACUAUAUAAUUUUGUAGGGAUAACUUUCUUUGGCCAUGUUAUUUUGAGAAGACAUGAUUACUUUGAUUAGUAUGCUUGAAGUAUCAACAUUUUCAUGUUAAUAUGAAAUUUUAUUUUGUGUCAUUUGUAUCUGAACAUUCAUGCCACAAUAAAGAAAAUUACAUUGAGAAUUAUGCUAGGUAGCAUUCCACAUCAAAAAUUCUCUUUUUAUCAUUUACCUACUCGAGGACGAGCAGGAAUUAAGCUUGGGGAUGCUUGAUACGUCUCCAACGUAUCUAUAAUUUUUGAUUGUUCCAUGCUAUUAUAUUACCCCUUUUGGAUGUUUAUGGGCUUUAUUUUACACAUUUAUAUCAUUUUUUGGACUAACCUACUAACCAGAGGCCCAGCCCAUAUUGCCGUUUUAUUGCCUGUUUCAGUAUUUCGAAGAAAAGGAAUAUCAAACGGAGUCCAAACGGAAUGAAACCUUCGGUAUCGUGAUUUUUUGGAAGAAUAUCAUCCUGGGGGCUUGGAGAUCAAGUCAGAAGACCCUCGAGGAGCCCAGGAGAUAGGGGGGCGCCCCCCUACAGGGCGCAGCCCCCUGUCUCGUGGACCCCUCGAGCACCUCCCGACCGACUUCUUUCGCCUAUAUAAGCCUACGUACCCUAAAAACAUCGCAUAUCAACAUAGAUCGGGAGUUCCACCGCUGCAAGCCUCUGUAGCCACCAAAAACCUCUCGGGAGUCUGUUCCGGCACCCUGCCGGAGGGGGAACCCAUCACCGGUGGCCAUCUUCAUCAUCCCGGCGCUCUCCAUGACGAGGAGGGAGUAGUUCACCCUCGGGGCUGAGGGUAUGUACUAGUAGCUAUGUGUUUGAUCUCUCUCUCUCUCUCUCUCUCUCUCUCUCUCUCUCUCGUGUUCUCUCUAUGGCACGAUCUUGAUGUAUCGUGAGCUUUGCUAUUAUAGUUGGAUCUUAUGAUGUUUCUCCCCCUCUACUCUCUUGUGAUGAAUUGAGUUUCCCUCUUGAAGUUAUCUUAUCAGAUUGAGUCUUUACUUUGAGAACACUUGAUGUAUGUCUUGUCGUGUUUAUCUGUGGUGACAAUGGGAUCUCACGUGCCACUUGAUGUAUGUUUUGGUGACCAACUUGCGGGUUCCGCCCAUGAACCUAUGCAUAGGGGUUGGCAUACGUUUUCUUGACUCUCCGGUAGAAACUUUGGGGCACUCUUUGAAGUACUUUUAUGUUGGUUGGAUGAAUUUGAGAUUGUGUGAUGCAUAUCGUAUAAUCAUGCCCACAGAUACUUGAGGUGACAAUGGAGUAUCUAGGUGACAUUAGGGUUUUGGUUGAUUUGUGUCUUAAGGUGUUAUUCUAGUACGAACUCUUGAAUAGAUUGAUCCGAAAGAAUAACUUUGAGGUGGUUUCGUACCCUACCAUAAUCUCUACGUUUGUUCUCCGCUAUUUGUGGCUUUGGAGUGACUCUUUGUUGCAUGUUGAGGGCUUGUUAUAUGAUCUCUCUAUGUUAUUAUUGUUGAGAGAACUUGCACUAGUGAAAGUAUGAACCCUAGGCCUUGUUUCCUAUCAUUGCAAUAGCGUUUACGCUCACUUUUAUCAUUAGUUACCUUACUGUUUUU
rnacentral:lncRNA from 1 species